rnacentral:rRNA from 1 species
GACGAACGCUGGCGGCGUGCUUAACACAUGCAAGUCGAACGGAAAGGCCCUGCUUUUGUGGGGUGCUCGAGUGGCGAACGGGUGAGUAACACGUGAGUAAUCUGCCCUUGACUUUGGGAUAACUUCAGGAAACUGGGGCUAAUACCGGAUAGGAGCUCCUGCUGCAUGGUGGGGGUUGGAAAGUUUCGGCGGUUGGGGAUGGACUCGCGGCUUAUCAGCUUGUUGGUGGGGUAGUGGCUUACCAAGGCUUUGACGGGUAGCCGGCCUGAGAGGGUGACCGGCCACAUUGGGACUGAGAUACGGCCCAGACUCCUACGGGAGGCAGCAGUGGGGAAUAUUGCACAAUGGGCGGAAGCCUGAUGCAGCAACGCCGCGUGCGGGAUGACGGCCUUCGGGUUGUAAACCGCUUUCACCUGUGACGAAGCGUGAGUGACGGUAAUGGGUAAAGAAGCACCGGCUAACUACGUG